AGCAGCCGCGGUAAUUCCAGCUCCAAUAGCGUAUAUUAAAGUUGUUGCAGUUAAAAAGCUCGUAGUUGAAUUUCGGGAUCAAUAUGCCGGUCAUGCCUUGGUAUGCACUGGUAUCUUUGAUUUCUCCCUUCUGACGAACUUUGAUGUCAUUAAUUUGGUGUCAUAGGGAAUCAGGACUGUUACUUUGAAAAAUUAGAGUGUUUAAAGCAGGCUCACGCUUGAAUACAUUAGCAUGGAAUAAUGAAAUAGGACGUUUGAUUCUAUUUUGUUGGUUUCUAGGAUCGACGUAAUGAUUAAUAGGGAUAGUUGGGGGCAUUAGUAUUCAAUUGUCAGAGGUGAAAUUCUUGGAUUUAUUGAAGGCUAACUACUGCGAAAGCAUUUGCCAAGGAUGUUUUCAUUAAUCAAGAACGAAAGUUAGGGGAUCGAAGACGAUCAGAUACCGUCGUAGUC
rnacentral:rRNA from 1 species